rnacentral:rRNA from 1 species
GACGAACGCUGGCGGCGUGCUUAACACAUGCAAGUCGAGCGGAAAGGCCCUUCGGGGUACUCGAGCGGCGAACGGGUGAGUAACACGUGAGUAACCUGCCCCAGACUUUGGGAUAACCCUCGGAAACGGGGGCUAAUACCGGAUACGACACAGCUUCGCAUGGGGUCUGUGUGGAAAGUUUUUCGGUUUGGGAUGGGCUCGCGGCCUAUCAGCUUGUUGGUGGGGUGAUGGCCUACCAAGGCGACGACGGGUAGCCGGCCUGAGAGGGCGACCGGCCACACUGGGACUGAGACACGGCCCAGACUCCUACGGGAGGCAGCAGUGGGGAAUAUUGCACAAUGGGCGGAAGCCUGAUGCAGAGACGCCGCGUGAGGGAUGACGGCCUUCGGGUUGUAAACCUCUUUCAGCAGGGACGAAGCGUAAGUGACGGUACCUGAAGAAGAAGCGCCGGCCAACUACGUG